GUGCUCGCUUCAGCAGCACAUAUACUAAAAUUGGAAUGAUACAGAGAAGAUUAGCAUGGCCCCUGCACAAGGAUGACAAAUUCAUGAAGCAUUCCAUAUUUUU